UACGGGGGGGGCAAGCGUUGUUCGGAAUUACUGGGCGUAAAGGGCUCGUAGGCGGCCAACUAAGUCAGACGUGAAAUCCCUCGGCUUAACCGGGGAACUGCGUCUGAUACUGGAUCGCUAGAGUUUGGGAGAGGGAUGCGGAAUUCCAGGUGUAGCGGUGAAAUGCGUAGAUAUCUGGAGGAACACCGGUGGCGAAGGCGGCAUCCUGGACCAACACUGACGCUGAGGAGCGAAAGCCAGGGGAGCAAACAGG
rnacentral:rRNA from 1 species